rnacentral:lncRNA from 1 species
GACCCCUUGUCCACACACCCACCAUAUUUUGUUGCAAGUCCAUCCAUUUCAAGUAUAAUACAAGGUGCUAGAGGGUGAAUUAGGAGGCUCGGUGUUCACGGAUCUUGAAGGACCUCUACCACAAGCUUUUAUCCACUCAUUUUCUCCGUUGAUCUUCCCUAGCUUUAAGCUAGUUUAUAUGUUGAUGAUUCCUUGUAGUCGUGUUUGCUGAGGAGACUUGGGUUACACAU